ACACUAAAAUAUUUACCUCUCCCUACAAAAUAUUUAGCCCUUCCUUUAAGUUUUAAUUAGCCAAAAAAUAAAAAAUAAAAUAAAUAUAUCCCUUAAAUAAACAUAUCUCUCAAACAUAUAUUAUUUUACCCCAAAAAUAACAUCCUUUAGCUCAAUAUCCUAAAAAUUCCUCAAAUACUAGCAGCAUUGACUAUUUUGUGUAAUUGAUAGGGGUGGUAUCAUUCAGCAAUCUAAAGGACCUACUAGAAGAUAGACCUGACAGGGAAAUAAAGUUGUGAAGUUUUACAAAGAGGCAUUUGGUGCUGAGGAAGUGACACAUGUUAACCAUCUGAAGAGGAAAGGUAGAGCAGGAGAUACCGCUGAUAUUAUCUAUGGAGCUUAAGAUUGGUUCCUCUUCCUUAAUUAUUGUUGACCUUACUGAUGAGGACCCUUCUGCUCUGUACAUAUUUCAUGUUUUUACCUUUUAUUGCUUUUUUGUGUUUUUUGCCUUCUUUUGUAUGUUUUGUUGCUUGUUUUUGUAUUUUUUGCUUAUUUUUGUAUUAUUAUUUUGCUUCUUUGUGGUUUUUUGCUUGUUUUCUUAUUUUUUUUUUUGUGAAGUCUUUUGAUCUGUGAGUUUUUUAAACUACAUUUGGAGAAAAAUCUUUGAAAACUUUUCUUGUAUGAAAGAAAGUUGGUUGUAGUUAUUUUGAAGAAGAGAGCUCAUUGAAAAAAUAUUUCGGGUUUUCUUGGAAAUCUACUUUAAAAAUUUGUUACAUUAAUUAUUUUUUUCCAAACAAAUUCUUCCACUACCAGCUGUCACGUUAAUUUUAUGAAAUUUUUUGUAGAAAUUUCCAAAUUUUUUUGUUAAAGUUUUUAUAAAAAGGGAAAAUGUGUAAUUAUUUUGAUAAAGAGGGAAAAGGUGUAGUUAUUCUGAUAAGGUGUAGUUAUUCUGAUCUGAGAUGAUUUAUUUGCUAUGUUAUGCAGUAGUUUUUCUUGUUGAUCAUUUGCUGCACAGCUCAAGUGUUUAUAUGGCAAAAUAAAUGUGAAAAAGAUGUUUGUGAGAUAUUUUUAAACCACUUUUUUUGCAGUUUAUGUAUUUACAUUCAUGUAUAUCUGUGAUUUGAGUCGUUGCUAUGGUAGGGUGAUUUUGUUAGUUGUAUUUCAUUUGCUUAGUUUUCUGUCAUUAUAUUGAUGAUAGUAUUUUGUGUUAUUUUCGGUGUGAAAAAUGCUUCGAGCGGAUGUGUAUUCUACUUAGAGACUGAGGAUGUAGAUGCUAUUGUGGUUAAGGUCGUCCUGCUGGCGCAGUUGCUGAGGGUGAAAUAAAUAAAGGUGUUGCUAGUGGUGGUUCUUAUUGCGGUGGGCAUGUAGGAAAGAUAAAAGAUCCUUUUGGCAAUAUGUGGACGACCUGCUCCUCACCAGUGAAGAAAUCUGAGUUACUGUUCUUGUGGUCUUAGAUUCUGGAAAAACUUGUAACAACUUCUAAGUACAAGUUUCUGAGGGUAUGGGAUCUUGAUACUCCACACUGUAUGCAAAUUAUAAGUGGCCAUCAUACUCAAUAUGGUCUAUAUAAAUUGACCCUAAGGAAAGAUAUCUGGUAACCUAUUCUGCUGACCCUAAGCUUCAUUUUUACACCGUAAAGCAUGAUUUAGCUGAUGGGAAAUUGAUUUGUACCAAAAGUAAAAUAGAUGUAACUAAGUACUUGGCUUCUGAAAAUAAAUAGGAAGUACUAAAGUUAUUCGGUGAAAUUCAGCAUCAAAGAAAGGAUAGGGUUGCAACAGUAAGGUUUAACACGCCUGGAAACCUACUGGCUUGUCAAGUUGCAGGAAAGACGGUGGAAGUAUUCUGUGUGCUGAAUGAGUUUGAAUCCAAACACUAUUCUGAUAUAUGGUUAAAUACAUUUUGUUUUGUGUGAAACUUCGUACAAAUCUUUAAGAUGUUUUCUAAUUAGUAUGUGUAGUAAAAGACAUGGAUUUUGAAGUUUAUUACAAAUCUAUGCAUUUGAAUUAUUUAUUAGCUAA